rnacentral:rRNA from 1 species
UACGUAGGUGGCAAGCGUUGUCCGGAUUUAUUGGGUUUAAAGGGUGCGUAGGCGGUUCUGUAAGUCAGUGGUGAAAUACUCCAGCUUAACUGGAGGGGUGCCAAUGAUACUGCAGAACUUGAGUACAGAUGAGGUAGGCGGAAUUGACGGUGUAGCGGUGAAAUGCAUAGAUAUCGUCAAGAACACCGAUAGCGAAGGCAGCUUACUGGGCUGUAACUGACGCUGAGGCACGAAAGUGUGGGGAUCAAACAGG